UCCGUCCAAGGGGGUGAUAGUGGUAGUUCUUUUGUGAGUUAUUCGGAAUUUUCUGCUCCGAUUAGUGUUAGGCCAAUUGCGAAGGUUUCUGUUGAUAGUGACGUUGAGGAGGAGGAGGAUGGCCUUCAGGUGGAUGAAGACUUGGGGAGGAAGGAGGAAAUUGAUGAUAAAGUGGAUGGAGAAGUUGACUUUGUUGAGAGUACGAAGGGAAGGGAAGUUGAGGUUCCAGUGGAAAAGGAGGAGAUUCUUGUAUCUGGUGGAAAUGAGAAUUUGGGCGAUGUGGUGAAUGAAGCGGA
rnacentral:misc_RNA from 1 species